rnacentral:rRNA from 1 species
UGGGGAAUUUUGGACAAUGGGCGAAAGCCUGAUCCAGCAAUGCCGCGUGUGUGAAGAAGGCCUUCGGGUUGUAAAGCACUUUUGUCCGGAAAGAAAUCCUUGGCUCUAAUACAGUCGGGGGAUGACGGUACCGGAAGAAUAAGCACCAGCUAACUACGUGCCAGCAGCCGCGGUAAUACGUAGGGUGCAAGCGUUAAUCGGAAUUACUGGGCGUAAAGCGUGCGCAGGCGGUUUGCUAAGACCGAUGUGAAAUCCCCGGGCUCAACCUGGGAACUGCAUUGGUGACUGGCAGGCUAGAGUAUGGCAGAGGGGGGUAGAAUUCCGCGUGUAGCAGUGAAAUGCGUAGAGAUGUGGAGGAAUACCGAUGGCGAAGGCAGCCCCCUGGGCCAAUACUGACGCUCAUGCACGAAAGCGUGGGGAGCAAAACAGGAUUAGAUACCCCUGGUAGUCCACGCCCUAAACGAUGUCAACUAGUUGUUGGGGAUUCAUUUCCUUAGUAACGUAGCUAACGCGUGAAGUUGACCGCCUGGGGAGUACGGUCGCAAGAUUAAAACUC